GGACUCUCACCACCCUGAGACCUGGAAAACAGCCCCUGGGUGGGGCCCUGCAGCCGCACCCACAUUCUUUCCUCUCUUUAACAAUUUGGUAGAAAGGUUUCUAGUUGAAAGAUCCCAUGGGGAAAAACUGGCUCAGAAACCUGAUUGGAGCACCAUUUGGAUACUAUGGAUUGGAUUAGAAUGGGCUUUCAAAGGCUUGGAAUCUCCUGAUCCAGCCUCACUGAGAAAAGGCUUUUGGAGAGCCAGGUAGGAGUUUCAUGGACACUGGACACAGGAAGCAGUGCUGAUAUUUCCAGAGAAAUCUUUCUGGGGCGUGGAGACAGAGAUACUCCAGCUUCAUCCUCCAGUGGGACUCAGAAUAAGAAGUGUUUAGCUGCACUGAGUCAACUGGACUUCAGGAGCUGGUGAGCCAUGGGGUUUGGAAUGCUUCAUUUUGUUCUCUACAGCCAUGAGUGUGCAAAAUUGCUCUGUAAAGGCCUAGAGAGUAAACGGGCAUUAAGCGCCAAUGCAGUCUCUGCCAUUAGCAGAGUGAAAUAGCCUCGGGUACCCACUCCAGUGUUCUUGCCGGGAGAAUCCCAGGGACAGGGGAACCUGGUGGGCUGCUGUCUAUGGGGCCACACAGAGUCGGACACGACUGAAGUGACUUAGCAGCAGCAG
rnacentral:sRNA from 1 species